UACGUAGGGUGCAAGCGUUAAUCGGAAUUACUGGGCGUAAAGCGUGCGCAGGCGGCUUUGCAAGACAGAUGUGAAAUCCCUGGGCUCAACCCAGGAACUGCGUCCGAUACUGGAAGGCUUGAGUCCGGGAGAGGGAUGCGGAAUUCCAGGUGUAGCGGUGAAAUGCGUAGAUAUCUGGAGGAACACCGGUGGCGAAGGCGGCAUCCUGGACCGGCAUUGACGCUGAGGCGCGAAAGCCAGGGGAGCAAACGGG
rnacentral:rRNA from 1 species